AAAAAAUUUGAUGUACCAAAUGUUGAAAACCACGAAAUAUGAGGGUAGUAAACAGUCUUUUACCCUUAAAUCUUUGUCCAAAAAUGUAAAAUUAAGAACUAACGGUUCAUAAGUCUAGAGUGGUUAAUUAUUUACUAUUUUCAUUAUUUACUAUUUUUAAUUAUUUACUGUUUUCAUUUCUAAUUUAUAACUUGUGGAAAGUGAAGACCUUGUUUUGCUUAUUGAAGCUAUGUAUGGUUAACUAGAUUACAAUAAUGAUAUUUAAACCCAUAAAAUUAGCACAGGUGGAUCUCACAGUAAACUAUACGACCCACCUAUAAGAGAGUUAGUUAGCAAGUGUGAAUGUAGUGCAUCCAAAUUGAAUUGAUUAGGUUAGAGUAUUGCAACUUUAAGAUGCUGUAUAUAUCGACAAGGUGAACAAUUUUAGAUUUAA